GCUUUGCUAAGUAAGAUGUUUACUGGAGUACAUUUCUCUCCUGAUAUCAGAGAUGCGGCUGCCCCAAGCACAUUUAGAAGGUGCACUCUUGGUACAAAAGUUAAGGUUUGUUCUCUUCCGCCUGCAAAACUACAGCCAGCAACUAGAGGUGAUACCUGAAUGUAUCCGGAUUGACGAUCUUCAUCCCUGGAAAACAUGACUCCCAGAAUCCAGCGGUGGGGGAGGGGGGGGUCGCAUGGCGGGAGAACAGCUCCUCCCAGUGUGCCUCAACACAGGGCAUCCAACACCCACUUGUCACUCCCAAGGCUGACUGAUGAAUAAUGUUCCCAAGUCUCGCUGCA
rnacentral:antisense_RNA from 1 species